GAUCCUGGCUCAGAUUGAACGCUGGCAGAAUGCUUUACACAUGCAAGUCGAACGGUAGAGGGGGCAACCCUUGAGAGUGGCGAACGGGUGAGUAAUAUAUCGGAACGUGCCCAGUCGUGGGGGAUAACGUAGCGAAAGUUACGCUAAUACCGCAUACGAUCUAAGGAUGAAAGCGGGGGACCGUAAGGCCUCGCGCGAUUGGAGCGGCCGAUAUCAGAUUAGGUAGUUGGUGGGGUAAAGGCUCACCAAGCCAACGAUCUGUAGCUGGUCUGAGAGGACGACCAGCCACACUGGAACUGAGACACGGUCCAGACUCCUACGGGAGGCAGCAGUGGGGAAUUUUGGACAAUGGACGCAAGUCUGAUCCAGCCAUUCCGCGUGCAGGAUGAAGGCCCUCGGGUUGUAAACUGCUUUUGUACGGAACGAAAAGGUUUGUCUUAAUACGAUGAGCUCAUGACGGUACCGUAAGAAUAAGCACCGGCUAACUACGUG
rnacentral:rRNA from 1 species